UGAGGAAUAUUGGACAAUGGGUGAGAGCCUGAUCCAGCCAUCCCGCGUGCAGGAAGACGGCCCUAUGGGUUGUAAACUGCUUUUAUACAGGAAUAAACCAUCCGACGUGUCGGAUGUUGAAGGUACUGUAUGAAUAAGCACCGGCUAACUCCGUG
rnacentral:rRNA from 1 species